CUAUAAACAUUUGUGCACAAGUUUUGGUGUGGAUAUAUGUUUUUUUCAUGAAUAUACGGUUGGUCCUUCCAGAACACAAGUUUGAAUUAUGUGGGUCCACUUAUGCGUGGAUUCUUUUCAAUAAAAAUAUUUGAAGGUUCUGAGGAGAUUAGCGACAAUGUGAAAACUUAGCAGAUGAACCACCAUCCUUGAGGCAGCAAGACCAACUCGUCCUCUUCCUCCUCCUCCUCAGCUUGCUUCUUAUGAAGAUGAUGAGACUGAUAACCUUUAUGAUGACCUACUUCCACUUAAUUAAAACCCAGAGUGCAGUGGUGUGAUCCUCACUGCAGCUCCUAACUCCUAGACUGAAGUGAUCCUCCCAUCUCAGCCUCCUUGGGUAGCUGGAUCUACAGGCCCGGACCACAGAGGUAAUUGUUUUUAUUUUUUGUAGAGAUGGGGCCUCACUUAUGUAGCCUAUGCUAAUCUCAAACUCCUGGCCCCAAGCAAUCUUCCUGCCUCAGUCUCCCAAACUGUUGGGAGUCACAGACAUGAGCCACUGUGCCUGGCCUCUUAUGAUUUUCUUUUCUUCUUUUUUUUUUUUUUUGAAACAGAGUCCCACUAUGUCGCCCUUGGUAGAGUGCCAUGGCAUCACAGCUCACAGUAACCUCUAACUCUUGGGCAAUUGUCUUGCCUCAGCCUCCCAAUUGGCUGGGAUUACAGGCGCCCACCACUACGCCCAGCUAUUUUUUUGUUGUAGUUGUCAUUGUUUAGCAGCCCUCGCAGGUUCCAACCUGCCAGCCUGGGUGUACAUGGCCGGUGCCCUAACCUGUGAACUACGGGUGCCGAGCCAUGAUUUUUUUAAUAAUAUAUUCUUUUUCUUUCCUUUUCUUUUUUCUUUUCUUUAUUUCUCUCUCUUUUUUUUUUUUUGAGACAGAAUCUCAAGGAGCCCACCACAACGCCCAGCCAUUUUUUUGGUUGUAUUUGUCAUUGUUAUUUGGUGGCCAGGGCUGGAUUCGAACCUCCAGUGUAUAUGGCUAGUGUUCUAGCCACUUGAGGUACAGGUGCCAAGCCAUAACAUUUUCUUUUUCUCAAGCUUACUUCAUUGGAAGAAUAAAGUAUAUAAUACAUCUAUAACACACAAGUAUGUGCUAAUCAUCUGUUUAUGUUAUUGGUAGGGCUUCCAGUCAACAGCAGUUUAUUAGUAGUUAAGUUUUUCAGGAGUCAGAAGUCACUUGCAAUUUUCUACUGGGUGGAGGGCAGCGGCCCCCACGCUCAUGUUGUUCAAGGGUGAACUGUAUACUACAGUGGAAUUGCUGGAUUAUAUGGUAACUCUAUGUUUGAUCAUUUGAGAAACUGAAGAGGAUUCCUGGUGCCCCAGGAGUUCAGGCACAGGGGAAGUGGCCAUGCCUGGGCCUGCUUGCCA